rnacentral:rRNA from 1 species
GAUGAACGCUGGCGGCGUGCCUAAUACAUGCAAGUAGAGCGAAGAGACGAGGGGCUUGCCCCCCGGACGAUAGCGGCGGACGGGAGAGUAACGCGGGGAUAACCUACGUAUAAGACGGGGAUAAAUUCGGGAAGCCGGAGCUAAUCCCGGAUCAUCUAUUGAACCACGUGAUUCAAUAGUGAAGGGCGACUGUGCUAUCACUAGAAGAAGGAUCCGCGCCGCAGUAGCUAGUUGGGAGAUAGCGGCUUACAAAGGCAACGACGCUUAGCCGCCCUGAGGGGGUGAUCGCCCACACUGGAACUGAGACACGGUCCAGCCUCCUACGGGAGGCAGCAGUAGGGAUCUUUCGGCAAGGGGCGAAGGCCUGACGGAGCACCGCCGCGGGGGUGAUGAAGGUCUCCGGUCCGUAAAACUCUGUUAUUGGGGAAGAACAAUGGUGUAAGUAACUAUGCACGUCUUGACGGUACCUAAUCAGAAAGCCACGGCUAACUACGUG